AACGAACGCUGGCGGCAUGCCUAACACAUGCAAGUCGAACGAGACCUUCGUGUCUAGUGGCGCACGGGUGCGUAACGCGGGGGAACCUGCCCUUAGGUUCGGAAUAACUCCCCGAAAGGGGUGCUAAUACCGGAUAAUGUCUUCGGACCAAAGAUUUAUCGCCUUUGGAUGGGCCCGCGUUGGAUUAGCUAGUUGGUAGGGUAAAAGCCUACCAAGGCGACGAUCCAUAGCUGGUCUGAGAGGAUGAUCAGCCACACUGGGACUGAGACACGGCCCAGACUCCUACGGGAGGCAGCAGUGGGGAAUAUUGGACAAUGGGCGAAAGCCUGAUCCAGCAAUGCCGCGUGAGUGAUGAAGGCCUUAGGGUUGUAAAGCUCUUUUACCCGGGAUGAUAAUGACAGUACCGGGAGAAUAAGCUCCGGCUAACUCCGUG
rnacentral:rRNA from 1 species